AGGCAGAAGUGGAACCACUGAGCUAAAACCUUUAGCAGGUGUGGCCGGCCUGAAUACAGAGAUGGGGGUGGUUUGAGUAAAACCACCACCACUCCCUGCCCUCGCCCACGCCAUCCAGGUGUUUCCAGGGACAACAGGAGGCUUUGCCCACCGGUUGAGUUCAGACAGAGGCAAAACCACUGGGCUGGAAACUCUGGCAAGCGUUCACAGCCUGACUACCAGCGACGUGAGUGGGCCCCCCCUCCCUGCCGUCUGGGGCUUCU
rnacentral:lncRNA from 1 species